rnacentral:rRNA from 1 species
AUGAAGAAACAGCAAGCUUCUACACGAACCCCUUCGCCAACCCGUGCUUGCCUUGUUGAUGCUGGACACGACCUGCCCGCUGGCUUGGCGGAGCUCGUUGUGCCCUGUCUAGAGCUUCCAGCAACGCUCUUCUGCUCAAAACAGCCGGCGCUCCUGCCGCUCACAUCUGUGCAACCUUCUGAAGCACCCAUGGCAUCACCGAGGCCAAGCCCUCCAGCAGCCCGUCGGAAGACCUUGGCAGGCAUGAGGAUCUCCAAGGAAGGCGGGAUCUCUCUGCAACGGAUCAGGCGCCCUUCCAACCGCACGCCGGCUGCCCCGGUUGCAAAGGUGGCUGAGCGCCUUGUUUGUCACAGCCUGGGCAUAACCAAAGAUGGUGAAGAUGUCACCGCUUCGACCCUGAAUGUGUUCACGGAGAGAUUCAAGGAGCAGCUCCCCCCUGAAGUGAUUGUGGCCAUGAGGGAUUUUUUCAAGCUUGACGAUAGUGCUGUUGCUGCUGUCGAGGACGCACUGAUAGACCACGGUGGUGCAGCGGCUAUGGCUCUGUGUGGCUGGAACAAGAUGGCCAGGGAUCGCAGCCGGCGAUCGCCUGAGUAG